rnacentral:rRNA from 1 species
CCUACGGGCAGCUGCAGUGGGGAAUAUUGGACAAUGGGCGAAAGCCUGAUCCAGCCAUGCCGCGUGUGUGAAGAAGGCCUUCGGGUUGUAAAGCACUUUCAGUGGGGAAGAAAGCCUUGGGGCUAAUACCCUCGAGGAAGGACAUCACCCACAGAAGAAGCACCGGCUAACUCCGUGCCAGCAGCCGCGGUAAUACGGAGGGUGCGAGCGUUAAUCGGAAUUACUGGGCGUAAAGCGCGCGUAGGCGGUCUGAUAAGCCGGUUGUGAAAGCCCCGGGCUCAACCUGGGAACGGCAUCCGGAACUGUCAGGCUAGAGUGCAGGAGAGGAAGGUAGAAUUCCCGGUGUAGCGGUGAAAUGCGUAGAGAUCGGGAGGAAUACCAGUGGCGAAGGCGGCCUUCUGGACUGACACUGACGCUGAGGUGCGAAAGCGUGGGUAGCAAACAGGAUUAGAUACCCGUGUAGUC